UUUGCUUUUUUGAAACUGGUGCAGAAAGAGUGUAUGCAGGCAUGUGUUCGUCCUGUAGAGCACCUGCUUAGUUUGAGAGCUGGUGCAUUGGUGUAGCCUGCCGACUGUGAUAGAAAACAACCUUCUCCAGUCAAGAACAAGAGACAUGGGAGACAAUAAGCCUGGAGGAAUAGUAGCAGCUGCAAAGAACCGUCUGCAGGUGGUGAAGGGAUUGGACGAUGCAGAGGUCUCAGAGUGUGAGAGCUGCUCCUUUGAGGUUACUCUUAACCUAGCCUACAUAGAGGGCAUGUG